CAUACGCAGGCGACUUUCUAAACUUCCGUCGCGCACGUAUACGCUUUAUUUUUCAUUGUUCACCUUCAGCGUGUCACGUUGGAAAGAUUGGAAGAGAAUUUGCCUCGUUAAACACUACCGUGACAUACCGAUGUCUCUAAUAACGCUACGAAAACACCCGAUCGUGGCGCGUCGCGGACCGAACACGCCCGAAGGGAAAUAAAACGCGAAGAAUACAUACAUACGUGGAACGUAUUUGAGUAACAAUAACACGAAUGAUGAUGAAUGAGAGAGGAGAUUCUCAAGUGAAAAUGCGUUCAGUUUUUGACCGUAGUGGCCACGCUAACGCACGCUAGUGACGCGCCACGGCGUCGUUACUGCACACGUGUAUUUACUAUUUAUGACAAAGGGGACGAGAAUAAACCAACCGUUAUUUGCCGUUCGUGCCAAACGCCGUGCAGCUCUUACACGCUACUCGCAUUCUUAAUUGCGCCAGUAGUAAAUGCGUAUUUUUCACUCACCAGAAACGUAAUCUGGAUCGGGUACUGGGUUGUAUUCGUCCAAAAGCAACAAUCCUCUUAUAACACAAAAAAAUUCCUCUACGGUGGCACGGAACGAACGUUAAAACACAGAAAAGUAACACUAAAAAACACCACCGAAUACACUGUCCUGUUGGAAUCUGAAUCACGGCACAAAACAAAAAAAA